AACGAACGCUGGCGGCGUGGAUAAGACAUGCAAGUCGAACGGGAUUUUCUUUGGUAGCAAUACCGAAGAAAGUCUAGUGGCGAACGGGUGCGUAACACGUGGGCAAUCUGCCUUAAAGUGGGGGAUAGCUCGGCGAAAGCCGGAUUAAUACCGCAUGUGAUUACCGGAGACAUCUUCGGAACAUCAAAGUCGGGGCAACCUGACGCUUUUUGAGGAGCCCGCGGCCUAUCAGCUAGUUGGUGAGGUAACGGCUCACCAAGGCUUUGACGGGUAGCUGGGCUGAGAGGACGACCAGUCACACUGGAACUGAGACACGGUCCAGACACCUACGGGUGGCAGCAGUCGAGAAUUUUUCUCAAUGGGGGAAACCCUGAAGGAGCGACGCCGCGUGGAGGAUGAAGGUCUUCGGGUUGUAAACUCCUGUCAUUUGGGAACAAUGCUUACGUAUUAACUGUACGUGAGUUGAUAGUACCAGAAGAGGAAGAGACGGCUAACUCUGUGCCAGCAGCCGCCGCUGUAA
rnacentral:rRNA from 1 species